UACGUAGGGUGCGAGCGUUAAUCGGAAUUACUGGGCGUAAAGCGUGCGCAGGCGGUUCGUUGUGUCGGCGGUGAAAGCCCCGGGCUUAACCUGGGAAUGGCCGUUGAAACUGGCGAACUGGAGUGUGGCAGAGGGGGGUGGAAUUCCGCGUGUAGCAGUGAAAUGCGUAGAGAUGCGGAGGAACACCGAUGGCGAAGGCAGCCCCCUGGGCCAAAACUGACGCUCAGGCACGAAAGCGUGGGGAGCAAACAGG
rnacentral:rRNA from 1 species